rnacentral:misc_RNA from 1 species
AACGCAUAUUGCGCCCCUUGGUAUUCCGGGGGGCACACCUGUUCGAGCGCCAUUCAACCCUCAAGCAUUGCUUGGUGUUGGGCAGGGUCCUUUAGGGGACCCACCCGUAACUUGUAGGCGGCUUCCGGCCCGCCUCCCCCAGCGUAGCAGGCUAACGCACUCGCUCGGGGACGGUCAGAGUGGUCAGCCCAUUUAAACCCCUCCAAAGGUUUGGCCUCGGAUCAGGUGGGGAUACCCGCUGAACUUAA